rnacentral:rRNA from 1 species
UGAGGAAUAUUGGUCAAUGGGCGAGAGCCUGAACCAGCCAAGUAGCGUGCAGGAUGACGGCCCUAUGGGUUGUAAACUGCUUUUAUAUGGGAAUAAAGUGAGGGACGUGUCCCUUAUUGCAUGUACCAUACGAAUAAGGACCGGCUAAUUCCGUGCCAGCAGCCGCGGUAAUACGGAAGGUCCAGGCGUUAUCCGGAUUUAUUGGGUUUAAAGGGAGCGUAGGCUGUUUGUUAAGCGUGUUGUGAAAUGUAAGAGCUCAACUUUUAGAUUGCAGCGCGAACUGGCAGACUUGAGUGCACACAACGUAGGCGGAAUUCAUGGUGUAGCGGUGAAAUGCUUAGAUAUCAUGACGAACUCCGAUUGCGAAGGCAGCUUACGGGAGCGCAACUGACGCUAAAGCUCGAAGGUGCGGGUAUCGAACAGG